AGGAUCCUAGAAGUAGUAGAGAUGGGAAAGGAAGGCAUGGGAUGGGAGAUGGGGGGGGGGGGGAAUUAAUGCACAUCCCCAGCAAAGUAUUGUUAGUCCAACUUACCUUUGAAAAUGGAAUUAAUGAAGGAGAACAGUAUAGAAUAAGACAGAAUUGUGAACCAAUCAAUAGAUAUUUGUUCAGCUCCUAUUAUAUGCCAGGAACCAUGAGGCAUAAGGAGCUGAUGUUCCCCUAGGGAAGAUAGCAUAUUAAAAAAAAAGAAAAAGAAAGAAAGAUGAAAAGCUGGGGGAAGGAUAAAGUGUGUAAAGGGAAGAAUAACUGAGAUAAGAGGGAGUUUGCCUUCAAAAUACCUCUUGGACUAGGUAUUCAACCAAGGUGGAAAAUGAAAAUUCCCAGAGUGACCUUAAAUGGUGGAAAAAUUAAGGAGAAAGAAGCUACCAGGGGAGGGGAUGUUGAAUAAGUAUGAUAUCCAAAUUAAUCUGCCAGAAUGAUGAGUUUCUGGGAUUACGGGAAGUCCAAAAAAAAGCAGAGCAGGAAAUGAACCCUUCAUCAUGAGACCAGUUCUUAAGCUGAUAUGGCGAGCCAGCUCUCCAGAAAAGUGGAUAGAAGGCAAUAGUGGGCAAAAGAUUACUUUAAAAUAAGUUUCAAAUAAAUAUUUUUGAGAAUGCACACUUAACACACUUUAAUGGUAACAUCAUUGUAAAAUAAUAUUCUCUUUAGAUUUUUACCCAAUUUACAAAAAUAGUUUUCGUUGAGUGUUAUCAAAAAUUUACAAAUACCUGCAUCUUUGAGUUUGUAAUACUUGCAUUCUAACAUUCUUAACUUUUUUCUUUCUGACUUUUAUUGCCAGAACAGGCAUGUAAAGUAUGUGUGCUUCAGAAGAAGCAUGGCAUGAUAGAUAAGAAAAUUCAAGUCCUAGCUCUGGCAGACUGGCUGUAUAUUCUUUGCAAAAUAUCUUCAUUUUUCAAUGCUCCCAGUUAUAUGUAUUGCCCCAGGCAGAGUACCUGGCUCUCUGCCUUAGAAGUUUUUCCAUAUUGGAAGUACCCUGUCUUAAAAGAAAUCACAAGUUGGAUCCCCAAAAAGAAAAGGGUCCUUUGCAAGUCUUCAUUCUUGAAGUUACAGCAUACUUUUUUUGGCUUUUCCAGAAAAAUUACAAAACAGUAUAUCCACAAAUUUUAUAGUCUCAAUCAUUUUGUUUUGAGUCAGAUUUGAAUCAUAAAAGUGUGAUUGUAUUUUCUAACUCUUGUAUUUCCAGAUUGUUCUCCAGAAAAAUUACUUGCACAUUUAGAUUCAUUCAGGGUAUCAGAGUAUUAGUCCUCAUACCUCUGCUAACAAUUAUCAUUUUAGAGCUCAGAAACUAUUUCAACUUCAAAUUGGAAAGUCGGCAAAAGAGUAGCAUUAGAUUAAGACUAUGAGCUGGAUGUAUGCAAGUUCUGUUUUACUACAUCUCAAAAUGGAAAAGUAGUUAAUAGGAAAUUUUGCUCGUUAAGAACAUGACAUGAAAUCUGAGACAUCAUACCAAAAGCAUUUGAAACUUGAAGAACCACCAAAUUUGCAUGAAUUGGGAUAUAUCUGAUACACGUCAUCCAUGACAGGAAAAAUACUAUAUUUCUAAUCUGACACCACAAUCUUCACUUUUAC
ensembl:lncRNA